UGGGGAAUCUUGCGCAAUGGGCGGAAGCCUGACGCAGCGACGCCGCGUGGGGGAUGAAGGCCUUCGGGUCGUAAACCUCUUUCAGCAGGGACGAAGGUGACGUGUACCUGCAGAAGAAGCGCCGGCCAACUACGUGCCAGCAGCCGCGGUAAUACGUAGGGCGCGAGCGUUGUCCGGAGUUACUGGGCGUAAAGGGCUCGUAGGCGGCUUGUCGCGUCGGCUGUGAAAGCCCACGGCUCAACCGUGGAAUUGCAGUCGAUACGGGCAGGCUAGAGGGCGGCAGAGGGGAGUGGAAUUCCCGGUGUAGCGGUGAAAUGCGCAGAUAUCGGGAGGAACACCAGUGGCGAAGGCGGCUCCCUGGGCCGUCCCUGACGCUGAGGAGCGAAAGCGUGGGGAGCGAACA
rnacentral:rRNA from 1 species